CGGGCAUUGCUGAGGCUCUGCAAACCUCUGAAGUGCACAGGAGGACCAGCUGGGGCAGCUGAGAGCAUUCAGUAACUCAGAGGUGGAUGGGAUAAUAGGAACAAGAAAAGCUCCAGAAAACAGGCUAGCUGCAACUACAAGUGACAAAAGCAACUCAUCAGCAGAAGCAAGAGGAAUGUGCUAAUGAUCAUUUUCCUGCCAGGCAAACCCCAGCUUCUCCAGCAAUGGAGCACAAACAAAUCUAGCAAAACCCAAGAAAAAUUAUCCUGCAUCAAUAACAUCAGAAAGAACAUAGAAAAGAAAGAUCAACGGCUUCUGUUGUUCGGGUGACAAAACUAAAACAAAACAGAAGGGAAGAAUUGCUUCAGAUUGAACUGGAAGAUUUGGCUUCUGAAACAAAACAAUACAAAGGCAAGUAACAGCUAUAGACAGUCCUCUGUUCAGCUCAAGACAUCCUGAUGCUGGGCACUGAAGCUAAAAUACGGGCAGAGCACUGCCAUUAUAUCCCCCAUGUCAUCGGCCACAAAUUGCCUGUGUGUCACCCCUACCUCACAGUUCCUGCCAGAGAGCCCUGAACAUCCCCCACAAGCAAGUCUAAGGCUGUUCAGUCCAUGGUUUCUUAUCUGCCAGCUCUGUCAACAAAUGUAACAUCUGCCAAGGAUGCAGUUCACAUCCAUUAGGAGCUCACGGGAGCAUAAGGCAUGUUACAAAGGACAAAGCAGCCAUUAGGUUGUCAUUAUCUUCACUGUGCACAAGCCUGUCCAGCAGCUGACCUGCAUGUAGGCACAAGAAUUCUCAAGGCUUUGCACUAAACACACACAGCAAUGUUAGCAAGAAACCCGAGGUCAGGGUUUAAAACAGGUCAGAGCAUUCAAGAGUAACAAUAACCUUUUUCAUAUUCUGCAAGUUUAAAACUCAACUAGUUUUCAGUUACUUUUUUCUUUUUUAAUGUAAAAUCAUAGAAUCCCAGACAGGUUUGUGUUGGAAGGGACCUUAAAGCUCAUCCAGUUCCAACCCCUGCCACGGGCAGGGACACCUUCCACUAGAGCAGCUUGCUCCAAGCCCCUGUGUCCAACCUGGCCUUGAGCACUGCCAGGGAUGGGGCAGCCACAGCUUCUCUGGGCACC